rnacentral:rRNA from 1 species
GAGUGGCGAACGGCUGAGUAACACGUGGAGAACCUGCCCCCUCCCCCCGGGACUAGCCGCCCGAAAGGACGGGUAAUACCGGAUACCCCCGGGCGCCGCAUGGCGCCCGGGCCUAAAGCCCCGACCGGGAGGGGGAUGGCUCCGCGGCCCCAUCAGGUAGACGGCGGGGUGACGGCCCACCGUGCCGACAACGGGUAGCCGGGUUGAGAGACCGACCGGCCAGAUUGGGACUGAGACACGGCCCAGACUCCUACGGGAGGCAGCAUG